UUUAAUGGACCACAACACAAGAAGAUGAGUUUUAAGUAGAAAGAAUUGUUAGGUUAGUUGGCACUGAGAAAAAAUGAGUGUGUAACAGCAAAGAGAACACAGUUGGGCAAAAUGUGUCAGUUAAAAAUUAGAAAAAGAUGUACUAUCAAGCUUGGCCUUCAAGAGAAGAACAAUAACCUCUCCCAUCUAAUGUAAAAUGUGAAAUCAUUUAUUAACUGAAAUUAAAAAAGAAGAAGCAUAAUGUAUAGGAAUGAGUGUAUGUAGGAGUAAUAUUUUAAAAGGAAAAGGAAAUUACAAGGAGUAAAGUAUGGGGAAAAAGAGAAGGAUUAGGUUCUGUAAUAAUUUAAGCAACCAUUUCUGUAAGAGCAGUUGGCAGUAGUUAGUAUGUCUUUUAAAAUCAUACAUGUCACCAUUUUGCUUGGGCUGGUAAAACACCUUUCACUCUCUCUCUCUCUCUCUUCCGUUUAUUUAUAUUUAUUAUUACUAUCUUCUUGUUAUCAUUUUCUCUUUCUCUCUCUCUCUCCCUCCCUCCCUCUCUCUCUAUUUUACCUAUUUCUUGUUAUCAUUUUCUCUUUCUCUAUAAUUGUUGUAUUUGAUCUACUGCUUCUGUAGAAUUUAAGUGCUGUAAAAGGAGGUACUAUCACAAAUCUAAUUCAGGUUACUGUAUGCUAUAUAAUUGGGGUUAGAAUUUAUUGCUUUUUAGCUUACAUAUUUCAGAAUAUUUGAAAAGUCUUGUUGAGUCUAUUCUUUUUCUUGAUACUUGUGGGGCUUUGUCUUUGAUUCUAAGCUUCAGCUAAGGCAAAUGGUAUAUUUCCCUAACAAGAACCUUUCUUUCUUUGACACCCCAUUCUCUUCCCCCAUAUUGAAUUUUGCUGGAACUUAAAAGCACAGUUAAAGAUUAAUGUGAAGCUUGUAACUUUCUCUCUGCUGUUUUUAAUACUCCAUAAACAAAAGGAAUCUGCUUUCUUUUCAUUAGCUGUUAUUUCACCAAUGCUUUUCACUAUGUUCAUUGUCUACUUUAUGCUCUGAAAGUUUCAUACUUUCUUGUCUCUGGUAAUUACUUUUUUCCUUUCAUUAGACUAGGCUUGAUCCUAGGGUUCUUGAAACUAAAGAUUUUAUCCUUCAUUACACUAGGCUUGAUCCUAGGGUUCUUGAAACAAGAGGGGGGUUAAAGAUUUUAUGCCUGUUACUUUGGAUUUUUGUUUUCUUUUUAACCUUUGUGUGCGUCUGUAGGAUUUGAGAGAUUUUUUGCUUUAACCUCUUUCCUUCUCAUCAGUCCUAUAAAGCUGCCAAGGUUAUUUUGUUCCUUGUUGAGUCCUGCAAGAUAUUACUACCAGUUCUUUUUGGUCAAAUCCCACUUUACCCUUUUUUAUUUUUAUUCAUUGCACCUUGUUGAGUCCUGCAAGAUAUUACUACCAGUUCUUUUUGGUCAAACCCCACUUUACCUUUUUUUAUUUUUAUUCAAUUUUUAACACACUGUUCUUUCCUUUCUGUCAAGUAGCAAUCAAACUCUUGGCUUGGUUAAAAACAUUACAUUUGUGUUGCCUUUUUGAACUGAGUUCCCAAUAAAAUUUGUGGAUCCUUUAAUUCUUGAAAAUGG
rnacentral:lncRNA from 1 species